rnacentral:tRNA from 1 species
GCGGGCGUAGUUCAAUGGUAGAACAGGAGCUUCCCAAGCCAGUAUUCGCGGGUUCGAACCCCGUCGCCUGCUCCA